UGUGCACUUUUCUCUUAGUAAGACGCCGUGAUCCAUUAGAAAUCGGUAUACGCCAGUAUACAGUGGGUCAUCAAUAGGCCGGCAUGAAGUUUCUCGGAACAAAUGGCGCGAUCCUUUACGGUUGCGUGUAUUGUCUGGGAAGCGUGCCGUGUUCUGUAAUGACUGUCUGAUGGAUUUUAAAGACCAUAUUAUUGAUGUUACGGCAUCACUCAUUUCGCGAUGAGAGCGUGAUAUGUGUCCGAUCGACGGCGGUUAAAUUUGGGAUACCUUUUGGACCCGUCUUGAAACACGGACCAAGGAGUCUAUCUAGUAUGCGAGUAAAUGGGUAGUUAAUGAAACCUAUUUGCAGAAAAAACUUGACUGUUCAGUGGGAUUACGAGGGACUUUACUAGCUCGCCUAGUGGUCCCUUCUCCAUCCCGGAGUAUUUUCAUCAACAUGUGCCGUUAAAAAGUACAUGGAAAAUAUAUCAUGAGCACACUGGAUACGACCCGAAAGAUGGUGAACUAUGCCUGAUCAGGUCGAAGUCAGGGGAAACCCUGAUGGAGGACCGAAGCAGUUCUGACGUGCAA
rnacentral:rRNA from 1 species